GACGAACGCUGGCGGCGUGCUUAACACAUGCAAGUCGAGCGGUAAGGCCCUUUCGGGGGUACACGAGCGGCGAACGGGUAGAGUAACACGUGGGUGACCUGCCCUCAGCUCUGGGAUAAGCCUGGGAAACCGGGUCUAAUACCGGAUAUGACUCCAUGACGCAUGUUGUGGGGUGGAAAGCCUUGUGCGGCUGAGGAUGGGCCCGCGGCCUAUCAGCUUGUUGGNGGGGUGAGGCCUACCAAGGCGACGACGGGUAGCCGGCCUGAGAGGGCGACCGGCCACACUGGGACUGAGACACGGCCCAGACUCCUACGGGAGGCAGCAGUGGGGAAUCUUGCGCAAUGGGCGAAAGCCUGACGCAGCGACGCCGCGUGAGGGAUGACGGCCUCGGUUGUAA
rnacentral:rRNA from 1 species